UACGUAGGGUCCGAGCGUUGUCCGGAAUUACUGGGCGUAAAGAGCUCGUAGGUGGUUUGUCGCGUUGUUCGUGAAAACUCACAGCUUAACUGUGGGCGUGCGGGCGAUACGGGCAGACUUGAGUACUGCAGGGGAGACUGGAAUUCCUGGCGUAGCGGUGGAAUGCGCAGAUAUCAGGAGGAACACCGGUGGCGAAGGCGGGUCUCUGGGCAGUAACUGACGCUGAGGAGCGAAAGCGUGGGGAGCGAACAGG
rnacentral:rRNA from 1 species